ensembl:lncRNA
GGUUUGCAGGAGAAACACUGCAAAUGCGCAACCCAAUGGGGAUUGUGUCUGUCUCUUUAACUUGUCACCACUGGGCCCCCCCUCCCUGAGCUUCCUGGGCUCUGAGGGCUAUGAGGCACAGUGACUUCCUCUGUGUGUUGGGAGGAACAGCCUGCUGCACUCACAGCCGAACAGAAAGCAGUAGGACAGCUGCUUUGGGGAGCCAGCAUCUGAGCCUGUCACCAGGAAAGUGAGUGAAGUGUGUGCUGGAACCACUUCCAGGAACAGGUUACAUUUUGAAAGCAUGCAACAUUGCCCAGACUGCAUACUCAGCAAAGGCAAAAGAUGCUUCUCUGGACCAUGAGCAAUCCAACCUCAGAGCGAGUGACAAUGUGGCAGAUCCGGGUGCAUCUGAAUGGACGCCCCAGAUCCUCCCUCCCCACACUGCCCACAGCAGGGGCCAUCGGGAGACAUCUGAGGUUAAGCUUGCUCUCCAACCCCUUCCCAUGCAGGACCCCUAACCCAAGCUUCUCCCACCCCAGCGGCAGGGAUGCCUCAAUUUCUCCACCUGUACAAUGAAGAUGUUUGAAUAAAUAACGGUUUCCAUUCUCUGAUUUGUGGACUGAUUACAUCAGAAACACCUGAUUCAUGAAUCAGACUCUCUGAGGAUGUUCCCCAAAAUGUACAUUUUUAAAGAACAUUCAAGCAGUUCUGAAAAACAGUAAGUUUGGGAGGUGCUGAACUAGAUGAACUUUGAAGUCUCAGAGCAUUAAGAAUACAGGACUCACAUGGUUUACGCCCCUCAACGACUACAAGCCAUUUGUCACCCAAACUUCAACUUAAAAACUAUUUAAAAUCACUUCAUAUUUAAAGUAUUUAAAAACACUUCCAUAUAGUUUUCAUCCAAACUAUAUGGAAAAGCCAACAGACCUACCCCAGGGCUCUGUGAAUUCUGUGUCACACGUUCCCAUUUCCACCUUUGACAAGGACUUCUUGCUUUGGCUAAAUUCUCCUUCUUUGCUCUGAAUCUUCUGGAUGUCUCUUCAUUUCUGCUCUGCUGUCAAUUAUGGCAGCUUGUUGAUUUCUACACACAAAAUAAUCAAUCACAGGAGGCCUGUGGGCUGAACUUAAGGCUUGGGGAGGUGGCAGGCCACUUACUGCAGGAACAAGAGCACUUUGGACUGAGGACCAGGCAAACCUGUCAUCUUGGUGCUUUGGCCAGAGACAAGGUAUUCAGCAAACCUCUGCUUUGCUUUCCCUUGUGUGGUGCCAGUGGGAGAGAACACGUUCACCUGCAGUAACCAGGUGGACGACAGGGACAGGGAGAAUUAAAAACGGACGUGAGCUCAGGCAGGACUCAGACAGAACGUGGGAGAGGAUGAAUGGUCACAGGAGGGAAAGCACAAGGUGGGCUGGAAAGGCCCUGAAGUCUGCUCCUGGUGGAGCGGCUGAUCGAGUCAGGGAGUGGCUGGAGAUGAGGCUGGAGACCCAGACGGAGGAGAGACUGUGCACUUGCGUCCGGGUACCUGUGGGAUCCGGCAAACGUGCUCCCUGAACGUUUAUUGUAUUAAAUGAUGGUUGAGCUGGGCAUCAUCAGUUUACUUCGAGAAGCCUCAGAUCUGGGGCAGAACAUCAGGAGAUGGAGGGGAGCGCCCCAGUCUCUCCAGCACACAGAUCAGAGUUAGACACAUUGCGAGCCAAAUUAUCCAGCUUGCUGAGAGCAGAGUCAGAGGCUGUCCAGAGCAGCUUGCGAGGUAUGUCUGUUUUCCAAUUUCCACAAACAAAACUGCAGUUUUCUUCUUGUUUGUUUCCCAGGCCAACCACCCUAGGGUGUUCCCUAAGUCACUGGGCAAAUUUUGGGGUUCUCAGUGUUUUCCAAAGUCUCCUCUGGCUGUUGAACCUCCUGCGAAAACUUCAUAUGUAAGGCUCAUGUGACUGACACAGAAUUACCUGGGAAAUUAACAUCUACAGCCACCUCACUGAUGCAGAGUGAGUGUCACGCUCUGCGCUCUGCUGCUGCACUUGGAGUCCCUGAAAUGACAAAGCCAAGUUCUCAGCCUCACUCCAACCCCAGCCCAGGCUCUUCCCAGGUUCCUCCCUAAACUCAGAUGUUCAGGGGCAGGAGGGAACCGUGGCUUCCUCACUGUGGGGUCACCAGCUCUUUCCACUUUGCCUGACACAUUGUGGGGAGUUAUACCUAUCUGAUGAAUAAAUGAAUGAGAAACGAAAGAUCAAACUGUGUUUGGGACUCUUGCAGGUAGCAUGGGAGGACGGAGGAUGGUAAGAGACGAAGAAACUGCCUAUGGUAAGAACACAUCUCACAAGGCGUUCCUGCCCCCAGGGGUGAGCUCUGGGUGAUGAGGGGCGAGCCAACUCCAGACUGACCAGAGACAAGCCCCACCUGCACGUUAGCUGGACCUCUGCCCCUGCCCUGCUGGGAGACAUUAAGUUCUGUGACUAGCCUGCGCCUUCAUUCCCAAAGUGGGAAAUGAGGACCAUGGAUCUACUCGGAUCUCCGCAGAGGAGGAUGGAGAAGGGAUCCAAUCAUGGACUAGAGGGAACACGAUUUGCCAGGCAGCAGGUGUUAGAGAACAGGAUGAAAGGUUAAACCGCUGUCUUCUUAGGCAGCAGGUUUGAGAGAGAGGAGAGGGAGGAGGGAAGGAGGAGGGAGGGAAGAAGAGAGCUUGUCUCAGCUCACCCCCCACAUCCCCGGGAGAAACAGUCUGUUUGCAUUUUGCAGAAGACGUUUAAGUCUUACAGUAAGCACCUUCCCAGGUGACACAGCUGGCUGAUGGUGGGGCAGUAGCUCAAACCCAGGUGUCUGGGACUCUGGGCAGCCCUUCCACACGAGGCCUGCUGCCUUUCCUCCUGGGAUGGCACCUGGGAGAGUAUCGCAGAGGCCACUGAAGUCGUGAAAUAAGCAACAGCUCUGCACGCUGUGGGUGACCAGAGGUCACGUCAGAUGCAGCCCAUGCGGCCUGGAAUUGUAAAGGGGCGUCCUCUAGAGAAAAGCCCACGGGGUGUUGGAGCAUCCCCAGGCGCAUGUGGUGACGACAAAGAGGAAAGACGUAGACAGGUAAAGAGCCCCCGGGAGUCCAAAAGUCUCUAACCAGAUCACCUCAGUGAAGGCUGGCCUUGAAAAGCAAAGGGUGAGGCACUAUUGCUCCCCUUUGUUCGAAAGGCGUCCAGCAGGUCCAGGUCAGCAGGCUCAGUCGCUUCCAGGCGUGCGGCUCACGAAUCAUUGUCCGCGCAGGUUCCGAGGACGACCCGCAGGAGCCCAGGCUCAGGCUCAUCCUGGCUGGGAGGACCGGGGCCGGCAAGAGCGCCACGGGCAACAGCAUCCUGGGCCAGCGGCGCUUCCUCUCGAGGCUCAGCGCCGCGCAGGUGACCACCACCUGCGCCGUGGGCAGCUGCCGCUGGGCCGGCUGGCACCUGGACGUCAUCGACACCCCGGACCUGUUCGGCGCCGAAGACCCCAGGACAGAGCCGGGUUGCGGCGAGAGGGGCCGCUGCUACCUGCUCUCGGCGCCCGGGCCGCACGCCCUGCUCCUCGUCAGCCAGCUGGGCCGCUUCACCGCCCAGGACCAGCAGGCCGCGCGCCGGCUCAAGGCCAUGUUCGGCGAUGACGCUGUGGCGCGCACGGUCCUGCUCUUCACGCACAAGGAGGACCUGGCCGGGACCUCGCUGCG